UAAUUACUAGUUUCAUUGGUGACCUCAUUGAUGAUCUGAUUUCUUUAUUUGUCAAGAACAAAUAUGCAUGUUUUUACUUCAUUCCAAAUGAAUCUAUGCAAGCUAUGUUUGAAAGCGAUGCUAGAUCUAUCUCUUUCUCAUUUGAAUUGUCAAUCCAAGUUCUAAUCAGUAAUGAAUCCCUAUUUUUUCCGAUCCAGUUCCUCCACUAAGGCUGAUCUAUCUCUUUCUCGUUUGAUUUGUCGACCCAAAGCCUAAUGAAUCCCUCUUUUGUCCGAUCCAGUUCCUCCACCAAUGCGAACCCUAGUUAGACUCAGGCAUAUCCUGUCCUGACUCAGGUUCAACCAAUUGGAUUUUCAGAUUAAAUUCAAUUCAGAUAUGUCCUGACUCAGGUUCAGCCAAUUGGAAAAUAUUUUGCACUUGACAACAGAAGAUAAUGAGGAAAACUUUGUCCAGGCAUGUGUGAUCUUUGCUGAACUUCUUUUUUCUAAUUGAUUGUGCAGUUGUGGACAGGAGCAAACUGGUUCUUUUCUAGAUGUUGCAGCACCAAACGGUUUGUCUUGCGGACCUAUCCAUUACAAAGCUUUAGUUUUUUUUCUUAUUUCUCCUUAACAAGUUUGCAUAUUUUACCAUUCAAUAGGUUAAACAUAAUCGAGAAGAGGAUUGCCCAUCAAAAGUCCGUAGAGGAUCUCAACAUCAUCUUCAGUUAAAGCGGACGCAUCCAAGUAUUAUUAGAUCAUCAUCUCGAAGGAAGACUUUGUCUGAAGCAGUCAAAAGAGACGCUUUCCUACAAAUCUUUGGCUAAAUGGAAAUGCCUUCCCUAGGUAAUCUAAGUUUUAGAUGAUAGGAGGUGCCUUUAUAUGCAUAGUUUCUGCACACAUUGUUAUAAUAUCCCAUUUAAUGUUGUUAUUGAUAGUUUAAUUUGAACGAGAUUUGGCGUGUGGUUGAUGGUGAAGAAAGUAAAGAAGCAGGGAAUCAGGAGCAUAGAGAAAAAGAGAGUGCUUGAGGCGAUAUAUCCUCCUAAGUAUGGUAUUUUUGGACUAUCUUAGGUUUAUAGCUCCUUUAUCUCAAUUUACUUGGUUGUAAUUUCUUGUUUCUCCUAGUGUCAUAAAGUCCUUACACCUCGUCGAAUCUAUACAAAAAUUAUGAUGAUAACCAUACUCCACUGAUUCGAAUCAUUCUCAUUAAUUAACACCAUCCCAAACCAUCAGCAGCAAAUCUGCUUCUUCAGCAUAUAUUGUUUGUAACAUCUGCUUCUUCUUCAAUGGGAAUAAUUCGGAUCACUGGAGUUUGUUAUCAUCAUAAUUUUGGUCCAGAUACAACGAGGUGUAAGGACUGUACGGCAAUAGGAAAAACAAUAGAUUUCAACAAGUAAAUUGUGACAGAAGUUAUAAGACCGACAAGGAUAAACCACCUCAAGCACUCUCUUUUCCCUAUGCUCUAGAUCCCCUGCUUCCUUACUUUCUUCAUCAGCAACCACACACCAUUUCUCGUUCAAAUUAAACUACCAAUAGCAACAUUAAAUGGGCUAUUACAAUAAUACGUGCAGAAAAAGAUACCUCCUAUCAUUUAAAUUUUAAAUUACUUUGGAGGGCAUUUUCAUUUAGCCACAGAUAUGUAAGAAAGCCUCUCGUUUGACUGCUCCAGACAAUGUCUUCCUUCGAUGAUGAUCUAAUAAUAUUUGGAUGCCUCCACUUUAACUGAAGAUGAUGUUGAGAUCUCAUACCGACUUUUGAUGGGCACUCCUCUUCUCGAUAAUGUUUUACCUGUUGAAUGGUAAAAUGUGCAAACUUGUUAAGAAUUGGGACAAGUAAAAGUCAUCAUCAGAUGAAGGUGAAAGAAAAGAAAGAUUCUAUAUACCAGAAACAAGGCAAAGGAAAACCGUUGGUAACCUUCCUGAUGAAAUGGGUAUAACUACCUUACAGUGCAUGCUUGUACGAAAAUCGUAGGUUCUUCUGCAUUGAGAAUGUUGUAAGUAUUAUCUGGUGGUCAAAGUACGGUCAUAUAUUGGACUUGGGAACGUGUGACAUUUGAGUUGAAUUCAAGUGUUGGCCGACAAUGACAAACUACGGUCAUCUAUUGGACUUAGUGGAUCAAACUUAUUGUCCCAAAGAGUUUAAUUCUAUUCCGUUGUAUAGAGGCCUCAUAGAUAGCUAUGUUUGGAUCGUAAUAAUGAGAAUAUAUACAUGAUAACACUUUUAUUAUU